AGUCGUGUAAAAUAUAAUGCGCUAGACGACUUCCAGGAAGUCUUCCAGACGACUUCCUAGUGGAGUCCAUGCUUGUCUUUGUAGAGGAAUGAUCUAUAAUAGUUUUGUUUGUGGUGUGUUUUGUGAUUUGCAUGUCUACUCUUUUAGUUGUGAAUUUUUUGUAAAAUCAGUAAUAAUGUUUCCCAAGAUGUACUACAUGUGCUAACAAUAUGUUUACAUAUUUACAAAUCAAUGAAAUAAUAGACUUCAAUAGCCUUUCUCUUAUCUUUGGAUCUCCCAUAUGCAAUAAUAAACUCCAAU
rnacentral:lncRNA from 1 species